UACGUAGGGGGCAAGCGUUGUCCGGAUUUAUUGGGCGUAAAGCGCAUGCAGGCGGUCCUGUAAGUUUGGAGUGACAGUUUCCGGCUCAACCGGGAAAGUGCUUUGAAAACUGCAGGACUUGAGGGCUUCAGAGGGACACGGAAUUCCGGGUGGAGUGGUGAAAUGCGUAGAUAUCGUAAGGAAGACCAGUGGCGAAGGCGGGUCUCUGGACAGUUCCUGACACUGAGGCACGAAGGCCAGGGGAGCAAACGGG
rnacentral:rRNA from 1 species